rnacentral:lncRNA from 1 species
GACCCACGGAUCCCUAGGUGUUACAUAAAUAAUACAGGAAACUGCAAAAUGAUCUUAUGUAAAGUCACUCCACAAAAUGCAUGUUUAAUUAGCACCUACUAAUAAAACAGAUGCAUAUGAAAUUAUUUAGAGUGACAUGUACUAUUCUGAACAAUACAGUCUCAGCUCAGGUUGCCAAGGGCAUGCAACAUAACCUGUUUUUAAUUGAGCAAUUUAUCACCAAAGAAAAUAAGAGACAGCUUGUGUUUUAUAGUUUCUGUA